GAUUAGGAAGCUUUCAAAGCUUUUUGAAGUGGGUGUCAGUUGAAUGGAUAUUGAAGUUUGGACUUGUAAUGAGCUUAGCCAAGGCCCGGAGCAGGCGGGGCAGACGCCCCCCUGCCGGAAGUGUGUCGGCUCUUCCCCAUGCAGGGACCAUGCUCAUCUUGCUUACUAAGGAAAGUGAGCAUGGAGGGCAGAGCCUGAGAUCGUGAAAGAGCUGCA
rnacentral:lncRNA from 1 species